AGUGAACGCUGGCGGUAGGCCUAACACAUGCAAGUCGAACGGCAGCACAGUAAGAGCUUGCUCUUACGGGUGGCGAGUGGCGGACGGGUGAGGAAUACAUCGGAAUCUACUUUUUCGUGGGGGAUAACGUAGGGAAACUUACGCUAAUACCGCAUACGACCUACGGGUGAAAGCAGGGGAUCUUCGGACUUUGCGCGAUUGAAUGAGCCGAUGUCGGAUUAGCUAGUUGGCGGGGUAAAGGCCCACCAAGGCGACGAUCCGUAGCUGGUCUGAGAGGAUGAUCAGCCACACUGGAACUGAGACACGGUCCAGACUCCUACGGGAGGCAGCAGUGGGGAAUAUUGGACAAUGGGCGCAAGCCUGAUCCAGCCAUACCGCGUGGGUGAAGAAGGCCUUCGGGUUGUAAAGCCCUUUUGUUGGGAAAGAAAAGCAGCAGGUUAAUACCCCGCUGUUCUGACGGUACCCAAAGAAUAAGCACCGGCUAACUUCGU
rnacentral:rRNA from 1 species